CCCCUCCUCUGGCAGAGGGUGGAGAAGAAAAGGAGGCCUGGGGCAGCCCAGCCCCACUGUGGGCUCAGGGGCUGUGUGCACCAUGGCCUGGACUCCUGUCCUCCUCGUGCUCCUCUCUCACUGCGCAGGUUCCCUCUCCCAGGCUGUGCUGACUCAGCCGCCCUCCCUCUCUGCAUCUCCGGGAGCAUCAGCCAGACUCACCUGCACCCUGAGAAGUGACAUCAGUGUUGGUGGUAAAAACAUAUACUGGUACCAGCAGAAGCCAGGGAGCCCUCCCCAGUAUCUCCUGUACUACAAGUCAGACUCAGAUAAAGGGCAGGGCUCCGGGGUCCCCAGCCGCUUCUCUGGAUCCAAAGACACCUCGGCCAACGCAGGGCUUCUGCUCAUCGCUGGGCUGCAGCCUGAGGACGAGGCUGACUACUACUGUAUGAUUGGUUACAACAGUGCUUCACACAGUGACACACACGGAGGGGGAAGUGGCACAAAAACCUCAGCCUGUUCACAGUUCCCUCUCCAGCCUGUGCUGACUCAGCCGCCCUCCCUCUCUGCAUCUCUGGGAGCAUCAGCCAGACUCACCUGCACCCUGAGCAGCGGCUUCAAUGUUGGGGGCUAUUGGAUAGCCUGGCACCAGCAGAAGCCAGGGAGCCCUCCCCGGUAUCUGCUGCAGUUUAAAUCAGACUCAGAUAAAAACCAGGGCUCCGGGGUCCCCAGCCGCUUCUCUGGAUCCAAAGACACCUCGGCCAAUGCAGGGCUUCUGCUCAUCUCUGGGCUGCAGCCUGAGGACGAGGCUGACUAUUACUGUGCUGUAUAUCACAGUG